rnacentral:misc_RNA from 1 species
GGGAGUAAAAGUCGUAACAAGGUUUCCGUAGGUGAACCUGCGGAAGGAUCAUUAUUGUAUAACCGAGGUGCGAGGGCUGUCGCUGACUCGAAAGGUCGUGCACGCCCGAGUGCCCUCACACACAUCCAUCUCACCCCUAUGUGCACCACCGCGUGGGUCCCCCUUUGGCUUGUUCGGAGGGGGGCUUACGUUUUCACACAAACUUUGUAUGCAGUGUAGAAUGUAUUUUUUGUUUUUGCGAUCACGCAAUCAAUACAACUUUCAACAACGGAUCUCUUGGCUCUC